CAUUAACCAUCUACAUUUUAAGCCUACAAUUAGAUAACCCUAAAAGACAACCCCGUUAGCAUUUUUUAAUAAAUACUUGUGUUUGGAGCUGUUUAACAGAGCACCUGAUAGCUGAUAGAGCAGUGUUAACAUCUGUUCCAUUAUUUCCAGAGGACGUUGGUUGAACGCAAUACUAUUCACAUAAAAUAUGCAUUUGUUCUUGACUGUCAAGUACCUCUAUUAUUUUAUUAAAAAAAAAAAAAAAAAAAAUCUCUCUUAUUAACCCAAUUCGUUUACUAAAAACAGAAAACAAAAUGAAAGGCCUGCAUCUUAAUGUAUGUGAUGCUCUUGCAGGAAACUACUAAAUGUUUAUUAAGGCCAUACCAUACAUGAAAGAAUGAAGCCUGUUUCACAUAUUGUUACAAAUCUGUAAUGUUAGAAUAAAAGGGAAAACUGAUUCCUACCA
rnacentral:lncRNA from 12 species